AGUGCUGACAACUCCCUCAGAAGGCCAUAUCACCCCAGUAGUCAAAAAUAACUAUACCAAAUGCUUAAAUCAUAAAUUCUACAAGUUUUUCUGUGCCCUUGGAUCCACAAUUUCUGGCUAGGGUACAAUGUUUUUAUUGUAUAAAGGCACCAAAUGUGCCAACCUGAUCUCUAAAAAAACAGAGAGCCUUAUUAUGGCUUUGGGAGAGGAUCAGGAUAUAUUAGAUUGGAAAACCUUAUAGACACCUGGGAUGAUCUUUAAGCAUAGGAAGUGAAGGCCUUCAUCUCUGAGACCAAAUUCCAGAUAUUCCCUUCAGCUCCUGGGAGUGGAGGAGGAGAGGAACAAAAAGAAGGCAUUCUGGGAGAAUGGAAGAUUUACACACACACACAAUCCUGCAGCCACCUUCUCCAGUUGGACCUUUAGCAUCCUCCUCCAGAGAGAAUUCCAGCAUGUUCAGCUUGGCACUACCCAAGAGGAUGGUCUGCUAUUGGAAGAGAAUCAUGCUUCUGAUGAUUUUAGCAUUUUCUGGGGUGUAUUUUGGGUCAGUCUCAGCCCUGGUAUGCCAUCAUUGCGACUUAAGUGUGGAUUGUGUCAACCCAGAAACCUGUAAUGAAGGACAAUUUGUCUGUAUCUUGGACUUAAUUAAAGUUCCAAACUAUACCUCAGUUCAAAAGAUAUGCUUCUCAAGUUGUAAGGACUACCUUUUAUUAGAGAAUCCACAAAAAAAAGGCCGCAUUUCAAGCAAAAGCAAUGAAUCCCAUUGGCUCGAUCAACACAAUCUGCGUGCUGACUACCAUCAUCAUAAUGAAGUUGGAGUACACAAAGAAAAGGUCUCCCUGGAGCAUCUCAUUGUGUGCUGUGACAAAGACCUGUGUAACCAGGCCAGGAUCAGGAGUCCAGAAGGCUUAAUUCUUCUCUUUGGGCUCCUACUCAACUUCCUCCCCUCUUCAAUUCUGUGACAUUGUUAGACCCUUCUAAGACAAUUUUCUCAUAUUAAGAUCUCAUAGAAUAUUCAUAGUAAUUAAAAGUAAGUCGAAUUGACUUAUGCUGGACUUACACUCCGAUUUUGGUUUCUAAAUGUAUUUCUGGAAGGUUUAUCAGAGGACUUACCUGCUCAACUUGCCGAGCUGACAGAUUGGUCUUGUUUACCCUCUGAUUGUAUAUCAUCAGCUGGGGAUGAAUUGGUUGGCUCAGUAAGUCCUCUGGGCUAGAGCAGUUUGAUCCUUAAUGCUAGACCCCUAAAAGAGAGUCUAUGGGGCAGAUUUAUCUCUCCAUUUCCCCUUUUACAACAUAUAUGUCAGUACUCCUUG
rnacentral:lncRNA from 1 species